UGCAUGCAUGUGUGUGCAUGUGCAUAUGUGCAUGCGUAAGCACAAAUAAGCACUCACGCACACACGGGACAGUAUGCAC
rnacentral:miRNA from 1 species